CUUUUCCUUUCCCCGAAGUGGCGAUGGGUUGCCCCGCCCGCUCUGCAAGCUGCUUUUCGGGAGUGUCCAACCGGCCUGCCAGGAGCGCUGGGUUCUCCGCGCAAGAAAGUUCGCCGCAUCGCACCCGGUCUUCUUCCCAGUUGAAGGACCAAUCAGCCUUCCAGGGUCCCUAGGAGAUGGAUGGCAAUCACAAAUUUGAAAUAAAUAAAUACCAUUCAUUUGGAUUCUUUUCACUUCUCCAGAGCUUCACAAUGUGAGAUAAUUGAUUUCUUGGCUUCUCCCAGGCACGUGGAAAUGAGUAUUGGAUGUUCAUGUUAUUUUACAUACUGUUCAGGUUAUAGUAUAAGAGUAACCCAUGAGAAAUGUUUAAGAGUAUUUGGGGAAGUUUAUUUUCCUUAUGUCUACAAGAGCUACUUGGAUCUAGUUUGGUGAAAACCACAUCAGCCAAUGAUAUUGCUGAGCUGAAAACACCAGGAACUGAAAACUGCAGACGCAGGUGGUACUCUAGAAGCCAAAACACAGGAAAUUCUAGAACAGAGGUAUUAAAUGAGGCUGGAGACUUACAUGAUCCCACCAAACCUUGGAGAUAAUCCCAAACAUCUCCAAUUGUCACCAAACUGUAACUUCUAACAGGACAAAAAUAAUAUUAUCUGUAUCUUAUUUUAAAGAAUAUGAAUUGAAUUUAAAUUACAUGUAAUUAUUGUUCAUUAUUCUGUUUACCCCACUCUUUGGUUUCUUGAUAUGAUGAAUACUUAUACAAGCUCUGAAGAAAUUGAAGUCAUGAGUGGAUUUUCAGAUUCUCAUUAAUUCAUGUUUUUCUUAAACAUUUUCCUUUGAAUACAUAAAAAUUGUUAGGUUUCUUCUACAUGUUACAUCAUAAAGCGAUGUUAAUUGUCAAGGUUGAAGAGCUGAGAUGCUUGCUAACCUCUGUCGCUGCUCAACUUGCCAUAGAGAGCCUGAGAAAGAAACAGGACUUUCAAGAAGCAAUCCAUGGGCCGUGAGACCCAAGGUUAUCAAAAGCAGGUGUCUGACAGAGAAGUGGACCAUUUCUAUAACAAACAGAAAGAACAUGAUUGGGCAACGUGAACAUGAUUGGGUGGGGGUUAUGAAAAACUGUUGUUAACUAACCAAAUCUUCACACGGGAAAACUAGAGUUGAUUUUCCUUCUUCUGUGCCAGGAUGUUUAUUCAAUAAAGAUUAUCUCUUUUGGCA